rfam:Candidatus Regiella insecticola 5.15 Rin_2504560037.188, whole genome shotgun sequence.
GGGUGCUUGAGGCUUUCUGGUUUGAGCAUGCUCGAUAGGCAGAAAGACAAAAGCCCCGAGUUAUUUUUCAAUUAACCCGAGGCUCUCAUAUGACCAAACAGCAUAAGAAUAGCCUCUUAACAGCAAUAAUGCAAUCGGAGGUUAAAAUG